AGAGUUUAUCCUGGCUCAGGAUGAACGCUGGCGGCGUGCCUAACACAUGCAAGUCGAACGAGGUAUUUUGAUUGAAGUCUUCGGAUUGAUUUCAAGAUACCGAGUGGCGGACGGGUGAGUAACGCGUGGGUAACCUGCCUCAUACAGGGGGAUAACGGUUAGAAAUGACUGCUAAUACCGCAUAAGCGCACAGUACCACAUGGUACGGUGUGAAAAACUCCGGUGGUAUGAGAUGGACCCGCGUCUGAUUAGCUAGUUGGUGAGGUAACGGCCCACCAAGGCGACGAUCAGUAGCCGACCUGAGAGGGUGACCGGCCACAUUGGGACUGAGACACGGCCCAGACUCCUACGGGAGGCAGCAGUGGGGGAUAUUGCACAAUGGAGGAAACUCUGAUGCAGCGACGCCGCGUGAGUGAAGAAGUAUUUCGGUAUGUAAAGCUCUAUCAGCAGGGAAGAAAAUGACGGUACCUGACUAAGAAGCCCCGGCUAACUAACGUGCCAGCAGCCGCGGU
rnacentral:rRNA from 1 species